UACAGAGGUCUCAAGCGUUGUUCGGAUUCAUUGGGCGUAAAGGGUGCGUAGGCGGCGACUCAAGUUAGAUGUGAAAGUCCUGGGCUUAACCUGGGGACUGCAUUUGAUACUGGGUUGCUUGAAUUCGGGAGAGGAUAGCGGAAUUCCCAGUGUAGAGGUGAAAUUCGUAGAUAUUGGGAAGAACACCGGUGGCGAAGGCGGCUAUCUGGACCGACAUUGACGCUGAGGCGCGAAAGCGUGGGGAGCAAACAGG
rnacentral:rRNA from 1 species